rnacentral:lncRNA from 10 species
UGAAUAGUAAGCAGCAUAAAAUGAAGAGAAAAACACCUUCAGGAGGUUUGCUGUUUUUUAUAGUCCAAUAUUCACAACCGUUGUGGCCAUUUUUUAUGCUGUUGCAAAAUGGCAGAACCAAUCUUCUGGCAGAUGACUGUCUUUGGCUCUGCAGAAACUUCUAUCUCACAUGAUAAAGACAAGCACACAGAAUCUGAAUGUGUUCUCACUGGGGAGGGGAGGAGAGGAGAGAUGAGAGAAUUCUUUUAUGUCCUGCAAGCAACAAAUGACUUCUAAGGUGCAUAUUUCUUUUCCUCAGGUCUGUCCAAAGGCAGAGUUCCAUUGUGACACUCCAGAAUGCUGUCCUUUGUCAGAGUCUUAUUCAAGAAUGGGAACUUGGAAGAACAUGUGGAAAUAAAUUAGAAGAUGACUAUGAUGGAUUGGUUUAAGUCAAUGAAUGUGGUACACCUCUGAUUAGUUUCCAAAGAUACACUUGGACUUAGUUCAGUAUAGUUUUCCAUACAAUAAUCAUAUAAUCAAAAUGUUAUCUUCAAUGCAUUCACCAAAGGUCAUAAAAUUUAAAAGAACAAAUCCAGAGGAAAAUGGGACAAUGAAAGACGACCAUGGUUACUCUUCCUUAGUUCAUGUCUAUAGCAGCUAUUAUAAUGUACUUGCCAACAUUCUAUGUCUUAGAGGGAAAUGAAAAAUCGCCAAGCGUUACACUUGUAGACCUCUGGCCUUUCUGAAAUGUGGGCAUCAUAACUCAUAUCUUUUUUUUUUGCAAUGGAGUUUCACUCUGUCACCCAGGCUGCAGUGCAGUGGUGCAAUCUUGGCUCACUGCAACCUCUGUCUCCUGGGUUCAAGCGAUUCACCUGCCUCAGCCUCCCGAGUAGCUGGGAUUACAGAUACGCGUCACCAUGCCUGGCUAAUUUUUAUAUUUUUAGUAGAGAUGGGGUUUCACCACGUUGGCCUCAAACUCCUGACCUCGUGAUCCUCCCGCCUUGGCCUCCCAAAGUGCUGGGAUUACAAGCGUAAGCCACCAUGCCCGUCCUAUAACUCAUAUCUUAUAAUAGCUGAAUGAGAGAAAGCACAACAGAAGCAAAAUUCGAAAUAAUGAUUACAAGAAUCAAUUGUAUGAAAGGAAACAAAAUUUGUCAUUCUUAAGCAACUUCCAAAUGUAAGAAUAAAUAUGUUUGAAAGGUUCAGUGAUGCUGUCUUGAAACAUUACUCAAUACCCUUAGUAUAGAGUAUACUUUCUGAAUAUACACACACACACUCACACACACACUCCAAGUUGUAUAUAUUUAGAUAUACAAUAUUUAUCAUAGAUGGAACUUAUUCCCCUCUAUGCAUGAUUACAUAAUGCUUGCUGAAAUUAAUCUUUUCAAAAUUAUGCACUAAAAAUUACCUAAGACUUACAAUUCCUUCCAUUACUUUAAAAAGCUAGUCAUGUCUCAGCAAAAGCCAAGACUGCUUAUGGUGUACAAUCUGAAACCCAAUUCUCUCUCGGCACUUUAACAGUAGAUCUGUCACCCUUUAACACCACAAAAUCAAUACCCUGGAAUGUCAUGGUUCUCUGAUGGCCCACAAAGUCAAGACAUGAUCAAUUUCAACUCCCUUACUAGACAGAAAUAGACUUAGACAAAUAAAAGAUUCCAUUCAAGUUAAAUUCUAUAAAACAAAAGAAUAAAGAAGGAGUCAAAGCUGUUAGAAUUCAGUCCAACAAAUUUACACUUAAAUCUAAAUCAAUUUUUAAGCCAACUAAAUUGCACACACAGUCAUAAGGUAUGUAUUAUAACUUGUAAAAAGCAUAUGAAUUACUCCAAUCUAUAGAUUAAGAAAUACUAUCAGUUAGGUAUGUCUUCAUUACAUUUGGUAAUAAACAACAGGAGAAUGACGGCCUCUGAGUUCUAUACUAUAUAUCCCUAGAACAUAAGAGCAGAAAUCUUCUAUUUCUUGUCAUAAACUGUAUAUUGUACGUAGAACAGUCCCUGAUGCAGAGUAAGCCCUUAAUAAAUAUCUAAUUACUCUAUGAAAAGUAUUGCAUACUUUAAAUAUAUCUGGCACAUAAACUCUAUGAGGGCCAAGGGUCACUCUUUCUUGUUCACUGCAAUACCCCGGCUUCUGUUGUGCCUAGCACAUUAGCAGGCACUCAAUGAACAUCUGCUGAUUUGAAUAAACAGAGGAUUCUGCGGAAUUUAAAUGACAGACUUCAAGAAUUUUUUUCUGUAAUAAACACUUUAUACACCAGUGGUUUUAUUUUGCUCCAAAAUUUUGACAUACAUAAACAUAAAAACUUAUUAUUUAGUAAUACUUUAAAAAGCUAGGCCUAAGAGUUAAGAGGCAUGGAGUGUGGUUUUGGUUCACUAACUUGCUGUGUAACUUUGCCUCUCCAUGUCUCUCCAGUUUCAUCUAUGAGAUGCAAAGGAAGGGUACAGAGAGAACAAGACAGUUCUCAAGUAUCCUCUUGGGAAUAUGUAGGUAUAUACACCCUCCUGGGUAUGGGUGGAGACAGGGAUUCAGAAGAAAUCAAUGAAAGGGACUCUAGAGGUCAGAGAAAAGUCAGAAAGCAAUCCUAUUAAGAGACAUAAAAGAAAUUGAAAUCACUCAACUGAGCAAAGAAAAUGCUGAAAAAGCGUAACUGAAGCAAAACUACAUGGGAGAACUUAGAAGCAUGUGGUACCAAGAUCUCAGGUGCUACUUCCAGUCCCACUAAAUGGAAUAUGGGAUGGCCCAUUCCUUUGUCUUCCAAUGUCAUAAAAAUUAAAAAGAAAAACCUUCACACUCCCAUCUAGCUUGUCCCUAGGGGAAGCUGUGUGACAUAAUUCUGACCACAGAAUUAUGUGGUCAGAAGAUAUACAGAAAAAUCUUUGGGAAGGGAAUCCCUCCCAGAAUAGAAAGGAAAUGGGAUGAAGUGAAGUUUUCCCUCAACUUUCUCCCCACCUGAAAUAGGAACUUAGUGGCUGGAGAGACAGCAACCCUCUGGGGAAUAUGGUAAUGAAAAUAAAAUAUUUAUGAUGGUGGGCAAGAGGAAAGCAGCACCAUGAUUCUUCAGUGGAAGUUGCGGAUGACUUCUAGAGUCUUGUAUAAGGAAAACAUAAACCCCUCAUUCCACUCUGUUGAAUCUAUUUCUUGCAGCUGAGUGCAUUCCUAAGCAAUACAUUCCCAAAAAAGAAAAAGAAAAAAAAAAUAGAAGGUUUAUCCAAAAAAAGAGAAGAAAAACACAAUGUAUGAUUAUGAGAGGUCCAUGAUGCUACUAACAGACACUAAAUACAGGGCUGUAGGUGUUUUCGUCUGAUCAACUACCAUGUUUCACAUACUUUUAUAUUGCUGACACCUUGCAGAAAGGAGACCACUUUCAAGUGUAAAAUCUUUGAACCAGGAAUCAGAAAUCAUGGGUUUCCCUUCUGGCUCUUUCACUUAAAAACACACUCAACUUUUAGCAAGAAAUUCUUCACUAUAAAAUAGAAAGUAGGCUGGGUGUGGUAGCUCAUGACUGUAAUCCCAACAUUUUGGGAGGCCAAGGUGGGUGGCUUACUUGAAGUCAGGAGGUUGAGACCAGGCUGGCCAAGAUAGUAAAAUCCCGUCUCUACAAACAUUCAAAAAUUAGCUGGUUGUGUGGUGGCACAUGCCUGUAGUCCCAGCUACUUGGAAGAUUGAGGUGUGAGAAUCACUUGAACCUGGGAGACAGAGGUUGCAGUGAGCCGAGAUUGUGCUACUGCACUGCAGCCUGGGUGACAGAAUGAGACUUUAUCUCACAAAAAAAAGGGAUUAGAUAAAUAAAUAAAAUAGAAAGUAUAGCAUUUAUUUGAUAAAGGAAUUGUUAGGAUUAACAAGAUAAUACAUGUAAAAACACUUUCUAAAAACUUACAGCACUUUACUAAUAGCUGUGUAUAUGGGAUGACAUAAGUAAAAUACUGAGCACAAUUUUGGGCACACAGUAAGUGUUUAUUUAUCAUUACCACUGUUAUUAUUCAAAGAUACCUAUCCAUAGCUCCUUGAGAAAAUCCCUGCCUUGCUAGAGUCACAGUCCUUCAGAAGGCAUAUUCCUGCCUCAUGACUCUUCUCUUCUAGGCAUGGCAGAUGGAAUGAAGAGUCAACUCUUAACCAAGCUGAGCCAGAGUUUCUCUCCCUGGCAUUUGAAAUAGCCACCCAAACACAGUAGCAGUUUUGUAGGUAAACAGGCAUAUAACAGGCUAAUUCAGGAACUAUGAAGUUGUCAGCCAUGCUUUACCUCUAGAAAAGAAAAAGAUAACAAAGAAAGAGAUAGAGAAAGAGAGGGAGGGAGACAGAAUACACAUGAUGGCCUUGAAUUUCCAAUCCAUUUCUGAAGAUUAGGUCCCAUGUAUUCCCAACUUUAGCAUAAAAUGUCUUCCGCUGAUUUCUCAUAUUGGAAACCAAAGAGUUUUAACUAAAUACAUUCAUUUUAGUGUUGGCAUUGAAACAUGUUUCAGGUUGGUUAUACAAAAUCAGAACCUAUGGAAGUGUACAAGAAAAGGUGACCCAUAGCUGAGAGCGGUGGCUCACGCCUGUAAUCCCAGCACUUUUGGAGUCUUAGGCGGGCGGAUCACCUGAGGUCAGGAGUUUGAGACCACCCUGGCCAACAUGGUGAGACCCCAUCUCUACUAAAAAUACAAAAAUUACCCGGCGUGGUGGCAGGCAUCUGUGAUUGUAGCUACUCAAGAGGCUGAGGCACGAGAAUCGCUUGAACCCUGGAGGCGAAGGUUCCAAUGAGCCGAGAUCACACCAAUGCACUCCAGCCUGGGCGACAGAGCAAAACUCCAUCUCAAAGAAAAAAAAGAAAGAAAGAAAAGGCUAUCUAUAUUCCUAUAUUCCCUUCUUCUUCUAUCACUUUACGUUACCUUUAUGAUUUUAUGAUAAAAUUUCAUAAAGCAUUUUAUGAAAUAAAAAGGCAUUCACAGUUAAUAACCGAGGAUAAUUUCCUAUUUAUUUAUGAUUCCCGGUGUCUGCAAUCAUUAAAGAAAAUUUCAGAUUUGUUAAAAUCUUAAAGUUACAAAAUAUUUUCUGGAAUGAUUAAUCUGAGAGUCUUCUUGCAAAACAAAAUUUAAAAAUCACAUUUAUGUAUAAAAUUGUGUACUUUUCUUUUCUGUGAGCAGCAAAGAGCUCCAGGAGGAGAAUAGAUUUUAGGUGCCAAGGAAACAGAACUGACCAACUUCUAACCCCCAGCCCCCACGAGUGCCUAUUGAAUGCUAAGAUCCUCUGACUGCAUUAUGGUACCCAGAUCCUAGAAUCAAAUUAUGGCUUUUCUGAAGGUGGGCACAGCCAAAUUGCUG